UACGGAGGGUGCAAGCGUUAUCCGGAUUUACUGGGUUUAAAGGGUGCGUAGGUGGUUAAUUAAGUCAGUGGUGAAAUCUUCAGGCUUAACCUGGAAACUGCCAUUGAUACUAUUUGUCUUGAAUACUUUGGAGGUAAGCGGAAUAUGUCAUGUAGCGGUGAAAUGCUUAGAUAUGACAUAGAACACCAAUUGCGAAGGCAGCUUACUACACAGUAAUUGACACUGAGGCACGAAAGCGUGGGGAUCAAACAGG
rnacentral:rRNA from 1 species